UACGGAGGGUGCGAGCGUUGUCCGGAAUCACUGGGCGUAAAGGGCGCGUAGGCGGCAGGCCAAGCGUGCGGUGAAAGUCCGGGGCUCAACCCCGGAUCUGCCGUGCGGACUGGUUUGCUAGAGCACUGUAGAGGCGAGUGGAAUUCCGGGUGUAGCGGUGGAAUGCGUAGAGAUCGGGAGGAACACCAGAGGCGAAAGCGGCGACCUGGACAGAUACUGACACUCAACUACGAAAGCGUGGGGAGCAAACAGG
rnacentral:rRNA from 1 species